rnacentral:rRNA from 1 species
GCGGCGUGCCUAACACAUGCAAGUCGAGCGAACAGACUUAGGGAAACCCUUCGGGGUGGAACUGAUGAAGUUAGCGGCGGACGGGUGAGUAACGCGUGGGCAACCUGCCCUGUGCAGGGGGAUAACAUACCGAAAGGUAUGCUAAUACCCCAUAAGGCUAUAACAUCGCAUGAUGAAGUAGUCAAAGAUUUAUCGGCACAGGAUGGGCCCGCGUCUGAUUAGCUAGUUGGUGGGGUAAAGGCCUACCAAGGCGACGAUCAGUAGCCGACCUGAGAGGGUGAUCGGCCACACUGGAACUGAGACACGGUCCAGACUCCUACGGGAGGCGGCAGUGGGGAAUAUUGCACAAUGGGGGAAACCCUGAUGCAGCAACGCCGCGUGAGCGAAGAAGGCUUUCGAGUCGUAAAGCUCUGUCCUAAGGGAAGAAUAAUGACGGUACCUUAGGAGGAAGCCCCGGCUAACUACGUGCCACAGCCGCGGUAAUACGUAGGGGGGCAAGCG